CUGGUCAGUAGAAGGAGCCAUCCUCGGUUUAUUGACUCACUACAUCUCCCAGCAGCCCCUCCCAUCGAUGAUCCACGCCACAGCCCUGCGCUCUCCGUAACCGAGUGUCAACUUGGACGCCGUUCCCCCGACCAUUAUUCUUUCUAAUUGAGCAAAGAUGAAGACAAAUGGCGGCGAUGAGAAAGGGCAGAAGAGUUUCUGUGAUUUAUACCGCUUUGGAGCGUGUGGGUGGUGCGUCAGAGGACGGCUUGCUAGAGCGCCCUUUCCACCGCUUCUCCCUUUGGACCUCAAGGAGAACGGCUCUGCUGCAUCAUAAAUCUUGGGCCAACAGAGAAGGUUGCUUGGUUAUGAGAGGGGAAGUCUGGGAGCGGGUGUGAGGGAAGGAAAGGACGACCGAUUGCCAGGUCAUCGCUCGUGGCGCCGCUCAGCAGCGUUACCUUGACAAACUAAAGUGGAGGAAAACGCACGACUAGCUUCCACAACUCAUUAGCGAGCGAUCAUAGCUGUUUCAUGUUGUCGGAUACCUGGGCGGCUUCGCUGCACCGCUGUGCCGAUUCUCUUUGAUGAAGACUUCAGAGGGAAAUCAUGAAUGAAAAGCAGAGAACUCUGCACGCUCCACUUCCUUCAGCAGCCCUGAAAACACACAAAUGAGCGCACACCUGUUUGUAAAAGUCCGACUGCUUCCGGCAGCCUCACACAUACCAGAGGACGGCUAACGACAUUCACAGCCGCGGCGUGAUUACACGGCGUGUUAACACCCCCGAACACAGGCGGCCUCAGGAGGGAGAGGAAUUUCUGCAGCCCGACACAGAUGUUAUCAGAACCACCAGCCUGGAGGUGACCACCGCUGUGCGCCUGUUCUACCGAACCCCACAGCGCCCCCCCUGCAGGUCCUUCAUAAAGAACCGAGGGGUUAAAUAAAGGAACAAAAGGCAACCACUCGGUUUGUAUGGGGCUCCAUUUGUGCCAAAUAUGUUUUUGCCUCCACUGCUAUGUCUUUGGUCCAUUGUCUAGUGAACAAGUUUGUUGUUCAUGUAUAUGUAGUACUGAGAAAUAUCUUAAGUGUCUUCAUGUUCUUAUGAUGAUUGUUUUGUAUUUGGUUUAUGAUGUUUCAGCUUGCUUGAUUUCUAAAACUGUUUUUUAUUUGCUUUUGUUGUUAGCUGACAGAACUGUCAGAAAAGUCCUUAGCAACAGUUGCUAGCAUUGUUAGCUCCUGUCGUUACACAGAGGUGUCAGAAAAAUCCCAAAGCAAUUGUUGCUGGACGCCAUACUCCUAGCUAGCAUUGAUGGCGCGGCGGCAAAAGCGGCAGAAUUUGUAUUUAGGAGCUUCUGGGAUCAAAUCCCACUUGGAGCCCAUAGUGUUUUGUUUUGUUUUUUUUUAACCCCAAACUGUUCAAUGCAGGUACACUAAACAUUUUUAAGCUGGACCACCACUACAAAUGACAAAAUGGCCUUUUUUUUUUUUUUUGUAUUUUUAAACAAUCAACAUUCCCUCAAUGUUUGCACUAUGGAGACAGUCAGUGUUAAAAGGGAUUUUGAACUUGCAAUAUUUUUACCAUCCACUAGAUGGCGCAGCGGCAUUAGCAACAGAUUUUGAAAUCAGAAGCUCCUGGAAUCGAAUCCCACUGUGUUUUUUUUUUUUUUUUUAACCCAAAACUGUUCAAUGCAGGUACACAAAACAUGCUAAGGACUUUUCUGACAACUCUGUGUAACAAUAGGAGCUAACAAUGUUAGCAACGGUUGCUAAAGUCUUUUCAGACCACGUAGUGUAACGACAGGAGCUAACAACACUAGCCACUGCUACGAAGGACUCUACUGACUGUUCUCUGUAACGACAGGAGCUAAUGACGCUAGCAACGGUUGCUAAAGACUUUUCAGACCGCAUAGUGUAAUGAAAAGGGCUAAUGACGCUAGCAACGGUCGCUAAGAACUUUUCUGACCACUCUGUGUAACGACAGGAGCUAACGAUGCUAGCAACGGUUGCUAAGGACUUUCAGACUGUGUAGUAAAAAAACAGGAGCUAACAACUCUAGCAACUCCUACUCUACUGACUGUUCUCUGUAACGGCAGGAGCUAAUGACGCUAGCAACGCUUGCUAAAGACUUUUCAGACUGCGUAGUGUAACGAAAGGGGCUGAUAACUAAAUCAAAGACAAUACAAAGUUUCAAAAGUAAAGCAAGCUGAAACCUCUCAAAGCGAAUACAAAGUAAUCAUCAUAAAAACAUGAACACGCUAAAGAUAUUGCUUAGUAAUACAUAGACAAAUGUUAGUUUAGUAGAAAAUGGACCAAACUAAACCCCAUAGAUCUGUAGAUCCACAGUGAUGGUUUAGACUCUCACUUGUCAUUUCUUCAACCACCAUCCAUCAUUCAGAUCUGCAGGUUGAUGAUUAAUGAGAUUCUCCUCGUGUCACAGCCUCGGGGCUUAAGAGAGGAAUUAGAUUUUCAAAUACAGCAGAAGCAUAACGAGGAGUCUGUAUCUGAACUCUUCCACAGACGCCCCCGGACGACCUUUUCUCAAUAUCUGUGAAUUUGACUUUAAUUCGUUUAUUGACUCCAACUUCAAACAUGUGGGAUCAACCUGGAGAGACGAGGGAAUAAAAACGGACUUUUUCUCGAUAAACUCAUCCAGCAGGCAUCGGACCAGUUUUUAAAAUAAAUUCAAGACCGAAGAAUUCAGAAAAAGCCGAGAGGAUCAAACGGGAGGUCGCUGAUGAAGCUUUUCAGCCUGAAAAGAGAAGAAAUCUGCAGCAGCUGGACGAACAAAGGUGCAAUCUUCACAUGAGGAGAACUAAAAGACAUUUAAAGAAAAUAGGGAGUUAAAAGUUAAUUCAUGAAUAAUAGAUUCAGAACAAAAUGACCAGAUAGAAAACAGAAAGAUAGCCUCUCUUCCUGAGUGUAUCCAUCAUUUCUUUAAAUAAAAGAACUCUAAAUGAGGAAAUAAAAAAGAAAAAA